AGUGAACGCUGGCGGUAGGCCUAACACAUGCAAGUCGAACGGCAGCACAGUAAGAGCUUGCUCUUACGGGUGGCGAGUGGCGGACGGGUGAGGAAUACAUCGGAAUCUACUUUUUCGUGGGGGAUAACGUAGGGAAACUUACGCUAAUACCGCAUACGACCUACGGGUGAAAGCAGGGGAUCUUCGGACCUUGCGCGAUUGAAUGAGCCGAUGUCGGAUUAGCUAGUUGGCGGGGUAAAGGCCCACCAAGGCGACGAUCCGUAGCUGGUCUGAGAGGAUGGUCCGCCACACUGGAACUGAGACACGGUCCAGACUACUACGGGAGGCAGCAGUGGGGAAUAUUGGACAAUGGGCGCAAGCCUGAUCCAGCCAUACCGCGUGGGUGAAGAAGGCCUUCGGGUUGUAAAGCCCUUUUGUUGGGAAAGAAAAGCAGCAGGUUAAUACCCCGCUGUUCUGACGGUACCCAAAGAAUAAGCACCGGCUAACUUCGUG
rnacentral:rRNA from 1 species